rnacentral:misc_RNA from 1 species
AGGGGGGAUGAAAGUGAUUGCUGGGAGCGACUGGCACCGUGUAGGCCAUCUUGGAAAGAUAUGUCGUGUCUAUGUAAACGUCAACAGGAGAUUGUUUAUCCGACAACAGACGGUCCGGCCUUUUGCCCUUACUAAAAUCGCGCAUCGUUGCGAAUCGUCGUCGCCGAGGAGGGUCGCGUCACCAGCGUCAUUUCUGGAAUAAUCCGCCCGCUCGUAUCUCAACAACACACGCAUGAUGAAUCGGGGUGACGGUCUGGUGCAACGUCGCAGAAUUGUAAACAGCGGCAGCGGGGGCAGCGGGGGAAACGGGCAGGAUGGCUCCAACGAGUUAACCGGGAACUCGGACAAGUCCUCGGGGCACGGCGCCGACUCCGAGAGUUCAUCCCAGAAGGACCUGAACUGCAAUCCAGCCGUUGACUCUGACUCCGACAAGGAGACGAGGCUCACCCUCAUGGAGGAGGUCCUGCUACUAGGACUCAAGGACAAGGAGGGAUACACGUCCUUCUGGAAUGACUGUAUCAGCUCCGGCCUGCGCGGCUGCAUCCUAGCCGAGCUCGGUCUCAGGGGACGAGUCGAACUUGAAAAGGCUGGUAUGCGGAGGCGCGGUUUACUCGCCAGGAAACUCCUCCUCAAGAGCGACUCGCCUACGGGUGACGUCCUCCUCGACGAGGCUCUUAAACAUCUCAAGGAAACCGAUCCUCCUGAGACUGUUCAGAGCUGGAUCGAGUAUCUCAGCGGCGAGACUUGGAAUCCGCUGAAGCUACGAUAUCAGCUCAAAAAUGUGAGGGAACGAUUGGCCAAAAAUCUUGUCGAAAAGGGUGUUCUCACCACUGAGAAACAGAACUUUCUUCUGUUCGAUAUGACCACUCACCCGCUCACAGACAACCUCGCCAAAACUCGGCUGGUCAAAAAGAUUCAAGAAGCCGUAUUGGGUCGUUGGGUAAACGAUGCAGGCCGAAUGGACCGCAGAACGCUGGCAUUGGUGAUUUUGGCACAUGCAGCCGAUGUCUUGGAAAAUGCGUUUGCCCCGCUGUGCGACGAUGACUAUGAGGUUGCGAUGAGGCGAGUACGAACUUUGCUAGACCUCGACUUUGAGGCAGAGGCCGCGAAACCAAACGCGAAUCCCGUCCUUUGGGCUGUAUUUGCAGCGUUUACGAAGUAGCGAAAUUUCCCCAACUGCCUCAAAGUAUAGGGAUCAAUGAAUUAAUUUGAUAUAUAUGUGUAAAUAGAAGGAUCGAGUGUACGCGCGUCGUUCAGAGUCGCGCGUCGGUGUACAUAUGCACACCCAGGGAAAUUAUACCACCCUUACUUUCGUUGAUAAAUAUUUAUAGUCUUAAGGGCGUCCGACAUUCAUUUUCGUUCCGAAUAUCUCAAUGCUUGAUAGAUGAAAUGUUUGUAUUUUAUCGUUCAUGUAAACGUAUCAAAAUGAAUGACAGGUUCCGGCCCGUAUUUGUCCGUGAUAUACGUCGCUCCAACUUGGUUUCGACCCCUCAAAUUGUCCAGCGAACCAUUUUGGUGCGAGAGGUGAUGUUUCCAAAAAAAAUUCUAGACUUUUUUGAGCGAGAGACAUUCGUUUUUAUUUCCUGUAUUUUUGAGCGUAUUUAUAUUGGUAUUCUUUUUUUUCUUCUUGUUUUGGUCACAUUCAAUAGCUGCAGCUUGAAUUCACUUUUGCGCCAAGCGCAAGACCAACACUCAUCUAAUUCUCGAUCAUUGUAACAAUGCCAUUUAUUAGGUAUAUAAUUUCUAGGUUUUUUCCUCGUUUGGUUAUUUCCUUUUGUUUUAGUAAUUUUUAGAACGUGUGUCAAUCGAGCUUAUUUGAAUUAUUAGCGGGGUAGGUAAAACAAUUUAGGACGGUCGUGUGAGUUAUGAUAACAGUACCUACAUAUUUUUUUUAGAAGGGAACGUAAGUAUUAUUUGAUAUACGUUGCAACAAAUUUGAAGAGUGGUACAUUUUAUAAAAUUCCCCACGGUAAAUGAUCUUAGUGGUUUAUUUAAUCUAUAAACCGGAAGUUUCUUUGUGUUUUAUUCGCGAUUACGAAGUAUUCAUGUCCCGGUGUAAAUGAAUUGUUUCUAUUACAUUUCUCAUCGAUUAUUCUAAAUAAUAAAUGUCGCUCUAAUUGUGACUUUCAAGCAAGCUUAUGCAGCUAAUCACCUGCAAAAAGUAAAACGGAUGAAUGAAAUAAACAUAAAUCAAGUUGAUCGAUUUUUUGUAAAAAGGCAUGCAGAGAGAAGCGGUCAUUUGACGAAAAGAUAAUUGUAUACUAGAAAUAUUAUAACGAAUCGCGUAACUGAUGCAAUCACUUAAAUUGCUACGUCGAUUUAUAUCUUAUCAGCUGGAAGGGAAGAGAGAGGAUAAAAUUUAUUUAAGAAAUUUUAACGUUAUUUCCCAACAUUUGAUAUCUAAGUUAUAAUAUAAUGAUUGUACAAACGUUUAUAGGACAGAAAGGAUAUUAUGUAUUUACGAAUAAUGGUUACUUAUUACUCUUUAUUAUUAUAAAAUAUUGUAUUACUACUAAGUGUAAUAAAAUAAAUAUUCCAGGUAGUACAAGAUAGUCGUCAGCAAUAUCACGUGAGGUGUAAAUUGGUGAGGCAGAAAAGGCUGUGUUAUGUGCACAGGUGCGAAGUUUCGUUGGCAGGUUUCAUUGAAAUCACUCGCUAAAAUUUGUUUACUCCACUCACGAUUAGGCGCACCUAAUAAACUAAGCCACUUGCUCCUUUUAUUUGGAACUGAAUUUCUCAGCUGCAAGUACUAGUCUUCAUAGCUGCUGUUAUAAGUCCGUACUUUCCAGCUCUCAUCCACUCAGAAUCCGUUUUGCCGAGAGACUGCUUCGUUAGGCUUCAACCCUACACGGUCUUCCGACUUGACUGUCCUCAGACUGACAAAAUUCAAAUAAUCAGGAGCUGACAAUUGAUGAGCUCAUAGAAAUGUGUGAGGAAGAGCAAGGCAUGGAAGAACCUCAUUCUUUAGACCCAGUUUAAUUGGAAGAUCGUGUAGGGAAAUAGCUUUACUUUAAAAAAUUUCCAAUAACAAUGUUUUUGAAAAUUCAA